AAUGAACGCUGGCGGCGUGCUUAAUACAUGCAAGUCGCACGCGAAAGUCGAAAGAUGAGUAGAGUGGCGCACGGGUGAGUAACGCGUAAGUGAUCUGCCCUAGGGACUGGGAUAACCCCGCGAAAGCGGGGCUAAUACUGGAUAAGCUCACGGAUUAGUAAUUGUCUGUGAGAAAAGGUGGCCUCUUUACAAUGCUACCACCCAAGGAUGAGCUUGCGUACCAUUAGCUAGUUGGCGGUGUAAUAGACCACCAAGGCAAAGAGGGUUAGCUGGUCUGAGAGGACGACCAGCCACACUGGAACUGAGACACGGUCCAGACUCCUACGGGAGGCAGCAGUAGGGAACUUUGCGCAAUGGGCGAAAGCCUGACGCAGCGACGCCGCGUGAGUGAAGAAGGCCUUCGGGUCGUAAAGCUCUGUCAGACGGGACGAAUAAGUGGAGUCUAAUAGGCUCUCAUGAUGACGGUACCGUCAGAGGAAGUUACGGCUAACUCUGUGCCAGCCGCCGCGGUAA
rnacentral:rRNA from 1 species